GUGGGGUAUCUUAGACAAUGGGGGAAACCCUGAUCUAGCCAUGCCGCGUGAGCGAUGAAGGCCUUAGGGUUGUAAAGCUCUUUCAGCUGGGAAGAUAAUGACGGUACCAGCAGAAGAAGCCCCGGCUAACUCCGUGCCAGCAGCCGCGGUAAUACGGAGGGGGCUAGCGUUGUUCGGAAUUACUGGGCGUAAAGCGCGCGUAGGCGGACCAGAAAGUUGGAGGUGAAAUCCCAGGGCUCAACCUUGGAACUGCCUUCAAAACUCCUGGUCUGGAGUUCGAGAGAGGUGAGUGGAAUUCCGAGUGUAGAGGUGAAAUUCGUAGAUAUUCGGAGGAACACCAGUGGCGAAGGCGGCUCACUGGCUCGAUACUGACGCUGAGGUGCGAAAGCGUGGGGAGCAAACAGGAUUAGAAACCCGGGUAGUCC
rnacentral:rRNA from 1 species